rnacentral:lncRNA from 1 species
AGUUCCUUCAGUUCAAUCUUACUAUCUGGAGCUUUUUCAGUACAGUCCAUCUGUUCGAAGAGCACUUUUUCUGGUGAUUCCUGUGUACAUCUCUGAUGGGCUAUAUCCUCUUCCUCAUUCAGAUUCUCACAUUCAUUCGUUAAAGUUCUUUCUAACAUGGAGACAUUAGGAACUCUAUUCUCUUGAUUCAUACAGAUUUCCUCCACCAGGUCCAUCUAAAAGCAUGAGUUGUCGUCCUUGGGAUGUGACAUAGCUUGGAACACAUCAAAGUUCACCUCUUCAUCUUGCACCUGGACCUUAAGCUUCCCUUUUUCCACAUCAAUGACAAUUCUGGCGGUUUUCAUAAAUGGUCGUCCCAAAAUUAGAGGUGCAUCCCCAUUUUCUUCCAUCUCCAUAACAACAAAAUCUACUGGAAACAAGAACUUAUCAACCUUGACAAUCACAUCUUCAGCAAUCCCAAAAGGGUAUUUGAGGGAUCUGUCAGCUAAUUGGAGAACCAUUCUUGUUUGUUUGAGCUCUACCCCUUUUAAAUUUUUAAACAUAGUUAGAGGCAUCAAAUUUAUGCUGGCUCCAAGAUUAAUCAAGGCUUUUCCAACCUCUAGCUUGCCAAUAGCACAAGGAAUAGUGAAGCUUCCAGGAUCAGAGGAUUUAGGAGGUAGUGAUCGUUGAAUGAUAGCACUGCAAUUCCCUUCUACCUCAAUUGUCUCUUUCUCAGCAUAUGCCCUCUUUUUUCGUAAUGAUUUCCUUCAAAAACUUCGAAUAAGAUGGUAUUUGCUGGAUGGCUUCGGAGAAAGGAAUGGUUAUUUCCAAUUUCUUAAAAAUUUCCAUGAAACGAUCAAAUUGUCAUUGUUUAUCUUUUCUGGAAGAUAUUUUUGGGUAAGGUAGAGGUUUUUCAUACUCCUUCUCUUUGAGCUUCUCAUCUUCUUCUUUCUUUUUCUCGUUCCACAGAUUUUUUUCUUCCUCUUCUUCCCUUUGAUUCUUGUCCUCUUCUAUACUUCUUUUGUCCUCAAUCUCUCUUUCUUUUACAAUUCUUCCACUUCUAGUAACAAUUUCGCAAGCCUCUUCCCUCUUAUCAUUCUUC